AGACCCGAAACCCGGUGAUCUAGCCAUGGGCAGGUUGAAGGUUGGGUAACACUAACUGGAGGACCGAACCGACUAAUGUUGAAAAAUUAGCGGAUGACUUGUGGCUGGGGGUGAAAGGCCAAUCAAACCGGGAGAUAGCUGGUUCUCCCCGAAAGCUAUUUAGGUAGCGCCUCGUGAAUUCAUCUCCGGGGGUAGAGCACUGUUUCGGCAAGGGGGUCAUCCCGACUUACCAACCCGAUGCAAACUGCGAAUACCGGAGAAUGUUAUCACGGGAGACACACGGCGGGUGCUAACGUCCGUCGUGAAGAGGGAAACAACCCAGACCGCCAGCUAAGGUCCCAAAGUCAUGGUUAAGUGGGAAACGAUGUGGGAAGGCCCAGACAGCCAGGAUGUUGGCUUAGAAGCAGCCAUCAUUUAAAGAAAGCGUAAUAGCUCACUGGUCGAGUCGGCCUGCGCGGAAGAUGUAACGGGGCUAAACCAUGCACCGAAGCUGCGGCAGCGACACUGUGUGUUGUUGGGUAGGGGAGCGUUCUGUAAGCCUGUGAAGGUGUGCUGUGAGGCAUGCUGGAGGUAUCAGAAGUGCGAAUGCUGACAUAAGUAACGAUAAAGCGGGUGAAAAGCCCGCUCGCCGGAAGACCAAGGGUUCCUGUCCAACGUUAAUCGGGGCAGGGUGAGUCGACCCCUAAGGCGAGGCCGAAAGGCGUAGUCGAUGGGAAACAGGUUAAUAUUCCUGUACUUGGUGUUACUGCGAAGGGGGGACGGAGAAGGCUAUGUUGGCCGGGCAACGGUUGUCCCGGUUUAAGCGUGUAGGCUGGUUUUCCAGGCAAAUCCGGAAAAUCAAGGCUGAGGCGUGAUGACGAGGCACUACGGUGCUGAAGCAACAAAUGCCCUGCUUCCAGGAAAAGCCUCUAAGCAUCAGGUAACAUCAAAUCGUACCCCAAACCGACACAGGUGGUCAGGUAGAGAAUACCAAGGCG
rnacentral:rRNA from 1 species